rnacentral:tRNA from 1 species
GGGGUUGUGACUCAGUUGUAGAGCGCUCGCCUAGUACAUGAGAGGCCCUGGGUUCGAUCCUCAGCACCACA